rnacentral:tRNA from 1 species
GGACCUGUAGCCAAGCCUGGAUAUGGCGUUGGACUUCUAAUCCAAAAAUCGCAGGUUCGAGUCCUGCCAGGUCCG